rnacentral:rRNA from 1 species
AUUGAACGCUGGCGGCAGGCCUAACACAUGCAAGUCGAGCGGAUGAAGGGAGCUUGCUCCUGGAUUCAGCGGCGGACGGGUGAGUAAUGCCUAGGAAUCUGCCUGGUAGUGGGGGAUAACGUCCGGAAACGGGCGCUAAUACCGCAUACGUCCUGAGGGAGAAAGUGGGGGAUCUUCGGACCUCACGCUAUCAGAUGAGCCUAGGUCGGAUUAGCUAGUUGGUGGGGUAAAGGCCUACCAAGGCGACGAUCCGUAACUGGUCUGAGAGGAUGAUCAGUCACACUGGAACUGAGACACGGUUCAGACUCCUACGGGAGGCAGCAGUGGGGAAUAUUGGACAAUGGGCGAAAGCCUGAUCCAGCCAUGCCGCGUGUGUGAAGAAGGUCUUCGGAUUGUAAAGCACUUUAAGUUGGGAGGAAGGGCAGUAAGUUAAUACCUUGCUGUUUUGACGUUACCAACAGAAUAAGCACCGGCUAACUUCGU